UUUUUGUUCUUUGCGGGUUAUAUAUCAGAUAAUCUUUAUUCAAUCUUAAAAUUAUGAGUAAUAGUUUGAUCAUAUAUAGCUAAAACGAUGAAACAAAAGCUAAAUGCAGUUGGCGGCUGCGUUUCAAAGUUCCGAAAUUCGCAGGAAAAAAAAAAAGAGAAAAAUAAAGUUACUAAUAUAACUACGCCAAAAAAAUCUGUAAUAUACGCCAGAAAUUAAGCUUUGGGUAUUGAACCAGGUUGAUGGCUUUAUUUGGUUGUUCUCCAACCACUAGACUGACUAAACACUAUUGCAAUGUUUGGAUUAUAUGAUAUAUGUAACAAAUUGUUGACAAAACCUAUAACUAAUCUUCAA
rnacentral:lncRNA from 1 species